rnacentral:rRNA from 1 species
GUUCGGUGGAUGCCUUGGCAUCAGGGGCCGAUGAAGGACGUGGUGGCCUGCGAUAAGCCUCGGGGAGCCGGCUGGCGGGCUGUGAUCCGAGGGUGUCCGAAUGGGGGGACCCGGCGCGAGUCAUGUCGUGUCACCUGCAUCUGAAUUGUAUAGGGUGUGGGGGGUUACGCGGGGAAGUGAAACAUCUUAGUACCCGUAGGAGAGGAUAUUCCGUGAGUAGUGGCGAGCGAAAGCGGAUGAUGGCUAAACCGUUGUCGUGUGAGACCCGGCGGGGGUUGCGGUGGCGGGGUUGUUGGGGCGUGCCUGUUUCCUGCUGCCGCCGUGGUGGGGGGCGUUGUGCUGGCUGGGUAGCUGAACCGUCUGGGAUGGCGGGCCGUAGUGGGUGAGAGCCCUGUAGGCGGAACCUGGUUGGUGGCGUGUGGGUGUGUUCCCGUGGUAGCACGGGGCUCGUGGAAUCCUGUGUGAGUCUGCCAAGACCACUUGGCUGCCUGAAUACUUCCUGGUGACCGAUAGCGGAUGAGUACCGUGAGGGAAUGGUGAAAAGUACCCCGGGAGGGGAGUGAAAGAGUACCUGAAACCGGGCGCCUGCGAGCCGUCAGGGCCUGGCUGUCUCGUGCUUCCUGGUAUGGGGGGUGCGGGGGCUGGGUGGUGGCGUGCCUAUUGAAGAAUGAGCCUGCGAGUCGUGCUGUGUGGCGAGGUUAACCCGUGUGUGGGGUAGCCGUAGCGAGAGCGAGUCCUAAGUGGGCGUGUGAGUCGUGUGGUGCGGACCCGAAGCGGGGUGAUCUACCCAUGGCCAGGUUGAGGCGCGUGUAAGAGCGUGUGGAGGACCGUACCCGCCUGGGUUGAAAACCGGGGGGAUGAGCUGUGGGUAGGGGUGAAAGGCCAAUCAGACUCCGUGAUAGCUGGUUCUCCCCGAAAUGCAUUUGGGUGCAGCGUCGCGUGGUCCCCGGCGGAGGUAGAGCUACUGGUUGGCUGAUGGGCCCCACAGGGUUACUGGGGUCAGCCAAACUCCGAAUGCCGUCGGGUGCGAGCGCGGCAGUGAGACCGCGGGGGAUAAGCUCCGUGGUCGAGAGGGGAACAGCCCGGACCGCCGGCUAAGGCCCCUAAGCGCGCGCUAAGUGGGAAAGGAUGUGCGGCCGCGGUGACAACCAGGAGGUUGGCUCAGAAGCAGCCACCCUUGAAAGAGUGCGUAACAGCUCACUGGUCAAGUGGUCGUGCGCCGACAAUGUAGCGGGGCUCAAGCGCGCCGCCGAAGCCGCGGACCCCUGUGCCCCUUUACUGGGGGUGCGGGGGUGGUAGGGGAGCGUCCUGUGCUGGGUGAAGCCGGUGGGGUGACCCCUGGUGGACGGUGCGGGAGCGAGGAUGCAGGCAUGAGUAGCGAGACCGGGGUGGGAGUCCCCGGCGCCGUGUGACCAAGGGUUCCAGGGGAAGGUUCGUCCGCCCUGGGUGAGUCGGGGCCUAAGGCGAGGCCGACAGGCGUAGUCGAUGGGUGACGGGUUGAUAUUCCCGUACCGGUGGGGCACCGCCCGUGCUGACUGGUGGGUGCUAACCCACGCCGGGUGCCGCCUUCUUCUCCUGCCGCGGGUUUCGGCCCGGGCGGGGGGUGGCGGUGCCGGGUCUGGGGGUCCUCCGCCUUGGUAGGCAAGCGUGUUAACAGGGGUGACGCACAGUGGUAGCCUCCGCGGGCCUGAUGGCUUGGCCCGUCCAACCGUGUGGCCCGUCCCCCAGGUAAAUCCGGGGGGCUGUCUUUGGUGACGAGGGUGAGGCGGGACGGUGACCUGCCCCGUUGGGGGUGGGGAAGCAGGGUGAUCCUGUGGUGCCUAGAAAAGCCUCGACGCGAUGGUGUGAGCCGCCCGUACCCUAUACCGACACAGGUGGUCCGGCAGAGUAUGCCGAGGCGGGCGGGUGAACCGUGGUGAAGGAACUCGGCAAGAUGCCCCCGUAACUUUGGGAGAAGGGGGGCCCUGUCCCCUGAGGCCCCGUGCGGGCUGGGGGGGCGGGCCGCAGAGACCAGGGGGGAGCGACUGUUUACUAAAAACACAGGUCCGUGCGAAGCCGUAAGGCGAUGUAUACGGACUGACGCCUGCCCGGUGCUGGAAGGUCAAGAGGAUCCGUCAGCCCCCCGCGGGGGGUGAAGCGGUGAGUUCAAGCCCCAGUAAACGGCGGUGGUAACUAUAACCAUCCUAAGGUAGCGAAAUUCCUUGUCGGGUAAGUUCCGACCUGCACGAAUGGCGUAACGACUCCCCCGCUGUCUCCACCACGGGCCCGGUGAAAUUGCACUACGAGUAAAGAUGCUCGUUACGCGCAGAAGGACGGAAAGACCCCGGGACCUUUACUGCAGCUUGGUAUUGGCGUCCGCCGUGUCCUGUGCAGGAUAGGUGGGAGGCGUGGAUCCCGGCGCGCCAGCGUCGUGGGGAGCCGUUGUUGGGAUACCACUCUGGGUGCGGCGUGCGCCUGAACCUCGGCCCGUGACCCGGGUCAGGGACAGUGCCUGGUGGGUAGUUUAACUGGGGCGGUUGCCUCCUAAAGGGUAACGGAGGCGCUCAAGGGUCCCCUCAGCCUGGUCGGCAACCAGGUGUCGAGUGCAAGUGCACAAGGGGGCU